UACGAAGGGGGCGAGCGUUGUUCGGAUUUACUGGGCGUAAAGGGCGCGUAGGCGGCCCUCCUAGUCGCGUGUGAAAGCCCCGGGCUCAACCUGGGAAUUGCAGUCGAGACUGCUUGGCUAGAGUGUGGGAGAGGGUGGUGGAAUUCCCGGUGUAGCGGUGAAAUGCGUAGAUAUCGGGAGGAACAUCAGUGGCGAAGGCGACCACCUGGCCUAACACUGACGCUGAGGUGCGAAAGCGUGGGUAGCAAACAGG
rnacentral:rRNA from 1 species